CCUACGGGAGGCAGCAGUGGGGAAUAUUGGACAAUGGGCGGAAGCCUGAUCCAGCAACGCCGCGUGAGGGAUGACGGCCUUCGGGUUGUAAACCUCUUUCAGUACCGACGAAGCGAGAGUGACGGUAGGUACAGAAGAAGCACCGGCCAACUACGUGCCAGCAGCCGCGGUAAU
rnacentral:rRNA from 1 species